rnacentral:tRNA from 1 species
CAUUAGAUGGCUGAAAUCAAGCACUGGUCUCUUAAACCAUAAUAUAGUAACUUCGAACCUACUUCUAAUGA